GAUGAACGCUGGCUACAGGCUUAACACAUGCAAGUCGAGGGGAAACGACGGGGAAGCUUGCUUCCCCGGGCGUCGACCGGCGCACGGGUGAGUAACGCGUAUCCAACCUGCCUCUGACUGAGGGAUAACCCGUCGAAAGUCGGCCUAAUACCUCAUGGCAUCGUCUGCGGGCAUCCAACGACGAUUAAAGAUUUCAUCGGUCAGGGAUGGGGAUGCGUCUGAUUAGCUAGUUGGCGGGGUAACGGCCCACCAAGGCUACGAUCAGUAGGGGUUCUGAGAGGAAGGUCCCCCACAUUGGAACUGAGACACGGUCCAAACUCCUACGGGAGGCAGCAGUGAGGAAUAUUGGUCAAUGGGCGAGAGCCUGAACCAGCCAAGUAGCGUGCAGGAUGACGGCCCUAUGGGUUGUAAACUGCUUUUAUGCGGGGAUAAAGUGAGGGACGUGUCCUUCAUUGCAGGUACCGC
rnacentral:rRNA from 1 species